AGAGUUUGAUCCUGGCUCAGGAUGAACGCUAGCGAUAGGCCUAACACAUGCAAGUCGAGGGGUAACAGGGGCUUCGGCCCGCUGACGACCGGCGCACGGGUGAGUAACGCGUAUGCAACCUGCCUGUAACAGCGGGAUAGCUCCCUGAAAGGGGAAUUAACACCGCAUAAGACCACGCUCUCGCAUGGGGACGGGGUAAAAUAUUUAUAGGUUACAGAUGGGCAUGCGUGACAUUAGUUAGUUGGUGAGGUAACGGCUCACCAAGACUGCGAUGUCUAGGGGUUCUGAGAGGAAGGUCCCCCACACUGGAACUGAGACACGGUCCAGACUCCUACGGGAGGCAGCAGUGAGGAAUAUUGGGCAAUGGGGGAAACCCUGACCCAGCGACGCCGCGUGAGUGAUGACAGCCUUCGGGUUUUAAACCUCUUUUGUACGGGACGAUAAUGACGGUACUGAGGAGGAAGUCCCGGCUAACUACGUGCCAGCAGCCGCGGUAAUACGUAGGUGGCGAGCGUUGUCCGGAUUUACUGGGCGUAAAGGGAGCGUAGGCGGAUUUUUAAGUCAGCUGUGAAAUACUCGGGCUUACCCCAUGAGUGCCGCAUCUCAAACUGGAAGUGCUAGAGUGCAGGAGAGGAGAAGGGAAUUCCUAGUGUAGCGGUGAAAUGCGUAGAGAUUAGGAAGAACACCAGUGGCGAAGGCGCUUCUCUGGACUGUAACUGACGCUGAGGCUCGAAAGCGUGGGGAGCAAACAGGUUUAGAUACCCUGGUAGUCCACGCAGUAAACGAUGUACACUAGGUGGUGGGUUUAAUAGCUCAGUACCGUAGCAAACGCAUUAAGUGUACCGCCUGGGGAGUAUGCUCGCAAGGGUGAAACUCAAAGGAAUUGACGGGGGCCCGCACAAGCGGUGGAGCAUGUGGUUUAAUUCGACUCUACGCGAGAAACCUCACCAAGGCUUGACAUCUAGCUGCAAGGUCUGGAAACAGAUCCGCCUUCGAGGGUGCUAGACAGAUGCUGCAUGGUUGUCGUCAGCUCGUGUCGUGAGAUGUACCGUUAAGUCGGGAAACGAGCGCAACCCUGAUUCUAUGUUUUAUAUGUCAUAGGAGACUGCCCGUUUUAAAUGGGAGGAAGGUGGGAGGACGUCAAAUCAGCAUGGUUCUUACGCCUUGGGCAACACACGUGCUACAAUGGGAGGUACAGAGGGACGCCAAACCGCGAGGUGGAGCCAAUCCCUUAAAACCUUUCUCAGUUCGGAUUGGAGGCUGCAAUUCGCCUCCAUGAAGUUGGAAUCGCUAGUAAUCGUGGAUCAGCUAUGCCACGGUGAAUACGUUCUCGGGUCUUGUACUCACCGCCCGUCA
rnacentral:rRNA from 1 species